rnacentral:misc_RNA from 1 species
UGACAUAGGGUAGACAUGUCACAAGGUGACAUAGCGUAGAUCUCAGACCUCCAAAACAAAUCUAACGGCUGAGAUUCGUCCACGUCAUCACGAUUUAAAAUUUAACUCUAGUAAAAUUUUAACUCCUGAAAUUUUACUCCCAGUAAAUUUUUUACUCCUACGAGUUAAAUUUUAACUCGUGAUGACGUGAACGAAUCUCAACCGUUGGAUUUAUUUUGGAGGGUUGAGAUCUAUGCUAUGUCACCUCGUGACAUGUCUACCCUAUAUCAC